rnacentral:rRNA from 1 species
AAAAGGAGGGAUUAAUAAAAAAAAAUUAAUAAAAAGAUUUUUAAUAUUUAAAUGGGGGUUUAAGUAUUUAAAAAGAAAAAAUUUUUAAAUUUAUAGUUGAAUAGUAUUGUAAGAGAAUGGGUGAAAUAAAAUUAAAUAAUAAUUAUUGUAAAAGUAAAUUUUAUUUAUUGUAUCUUGUGUAUCAGAGUUUAUUAAAUAAUAAAAGUUGUAUAAUUUAUUCUCGAAUUUAUAAGAGAUAAUUGAUUAAAAAAGUUAUUGUUGUAAAAAUAUUUUUAAUAAUUAAUUUGAAAUGAAAUGUUAAUCGUUUAUAAAUAUAUCUAGUUAUUUUAGAAAAAAAUUAAAUUUUAUAUUACUUUAAGGAAAAAUUAAUUAAUUAAUUUUUCCUUAAGGUAAAUUUAAUAUUUUAAGGGAUAAGCUUUAAAAUAUAAAUUUAUAAUAAAUAAAUAACUUAAAAAAUUUUUUAGAAUUUAAAUUGUUAAAUAAAUUAUAAUUUAUUAUAAAUAAAUUAAAUAAAAAAAAAAUUAAAUUAAAAUUAUUUAAAUUUAUAUAAAAUAAUAAUUUAAAAUAAAAAUAAAUUAGUUAUAAUGAUAAAAUUAGUAUAUUAAUAACAUAUAUAUAUAUAUAUAUAUAUAUAUAUAUAUAUUAAUUAAUUGAUUUAAUGAAAAGUUAAUUAAAAGGAAUUCGGCAAAAAUUUAUAUUCACUUGUUUAUCAAAAACAUGUCUUUUUGAUAAUAAUUUAAAGUCUAACCUGCCCACUGAUAAUUUAUUAAAGGGCUGCAGUAUAUUGACUGUACAAAGGUAGCAUAAUCAUUAGUCUCUUAAUUGGUGACUUGUAUGAAAGGUUGGAUGAAAUAUAAACUGUCUCUUAAUUAAAAAUAUAAAAUUUAAUUUUUUAGUUAAAAAGCUAAAAUGAAUUUAAAAGACGAGAAGACCCUAUAGAGUUUAAUAAAUAAAUUUUUUAAGAUUAUUAAAAUAGUAAAAAAUUAAAAUAAAUUUAUUUAUUUUAUUGGGGUGAUAGGAAAAUAGAUUUAACUUUUUUUUAUUAAGAACAUAGAUAAAUGAGUUUAUGAUCCAAAAAUUUUGAUUAAAAGAAUAAAUUACCUUAGGGAUAACAGCGUAAUUUUUUUUUUUAGUUCAUAUAAGAAGAAAAGUUUGCGACCUCGAUGUUGGAUUAAGAUAAAAUUUAAAUGUAGAAGUUUAAAAUUUUGAUCUGUUCGAUCAUUAAAAUCUUACAUGAUCUGAGUUCAAACCGGUGUGAGCCAGGUUGGUUUCUAUCUUUAGAAAAUUAUAAUAUUUUAGUACGAAAGGAUUAAAUAUUAAAAUUAAAUUUAAAUUAUAGAAUAUUAUUAAUAUAUAUAUAUAUAUAAAUAAAUAAAAUAAAUAUAA